AGAAAUGAGUGACCCCAAGUACGGUUAUCCCUAUCCUCCCCCUCAUCAAGGUUAUUAUCAAGGUCCUCCAGUGAUGGCGCCUCCACAAUAUGCUGCUGCUCCACCACCACCCAGAAGACAGGCUGGUUUCCUUGAAGGAUGAAUAUUGUGGGAUGAUCAUGAUUUGUGUUCCUCUGUGCCAGCCUUGCUGCCUUGUGUUGCUGCUGCCUCAUCGACGAGUGCUGCUGCGACCCCUCCAUCAUCUUCAUCAGCUGAUCAUCAUCAUGCAGAUGCAGUAGUGUCUGUUCUCUGUAAUCAAUAAUAAGGGAUUAUUCCUCUCAUCACAUCAUCCUCAUAACUAUAUAUAGUGUAAUUAUUGCUCCUGGAUUUUCUAUAAUAUAUCAAGAUUCAGUCUCUGUUUAUGCUUUGAAUAACUCCGUUUCUACCUCUCUCGGCAGUUGUUUGACAUGGGAAGUCAGAUUCGGAGGAGUGUUGUAGUUGUAAUUAUUUAUCCAAAUGACUCAACAAAUAUUCUCAGUAA